AACGAACGCUGGCGGCAGGCCUAACACAUGCAAGUCGAACGCCCUAGCAAUAGGGAGUGGCGCACGGGUGCGUAACGCGUGGGAAUAUGCCCUUGACUGCGGAACAACGUCGGGAAACUGACGCUAAUACCGCAUAAUGUCCUCGGACCAAAGAGUUAUCGGUCAAGGAUUAGCCCGCGUCUGAUUAGCUAGUUGGUGAGGUAACGGCUCACCAAGGCGACGAUCAGUCGGGGGUCUGAGAGGAUGAUCCCCCACACUGGGACUGAGACACGGCCCAGACUCCUACGGUCGGCUGCAGUGAGGAAUAUUGGACAAUAGGCGCAAGCCUGAUCCGGCCAUGCCGCGUGAGUGACGAAGGCCUUCGGGUUGUAAAGCUCUUUCAGAUGCGAAGAUAAUGACGGUAACAUCAGAAGAAGCCCCGGCUAAAUUCGUGCCAGCAGCCGCGGUAA
rnacentral:rRNA from 1 species